CAUAGGAGAGGACAAGGCUAUGAGAUGGCGAGGAAGCUCAGUGUGUUGGAAAUCCUUCUGAUCAUCUUUAACCUGGUUGCAGUGGCAGUAGACAUCCUCCUGCUGCUUCUUGUGCUGGAGAAGCCUUCAGGUUUAUUCAUUCCCGAGUGCCCAGACAUCCCGGAAUCAGAAAGAAUAGAUUGCGCACUUGGCAAGGAGGUGACAGAGGAAGGUUGCAGGUGGGAACGCAAGUGCUGCUGGAAG